rnacentral:tRNA from 1 species
CAACUAGUAGUUUAUUAGAAGAAUAUUAAUUUUGGGUAUUAAAGGUAUAGAAUAUUUCUAUUUUGUUGA